GCUUAGGAAGCAUAAGGCAGUGAUAUUUGUAAUUCAUUAUUUGGGUCAUCCCUCUAAGCU
rnacentral:tRNA from 1 species